rnacentral:rRNA from 1 species
AGAACGAACGCUGGCGGCGUGGAUAAGACAUGCAAGUCGAACGCGAUUUAUCAGGUUAGCAAUAACUUGGUAAAUUGAGUGGCGAAAGGGUGCGUAACACGUGGGAAUUUACCGAGAAGUGGGGAAUAGCUCGACGAAAGUCGAAUUAAUACCGCAUACGAUCGAAAGAUCAAAGCCGGGGACCGCAAGGCCUGGCGCUUUUUGAGAAGCCCGCGGCCCAUCAGCUAGUUGGCGGGGUAAAAGCCCACCAAGGCUAUGACGGGUAGCUGGUCUGAGAGGACGACCAGCCACACUGGAACUGAGACACGGUCCAGACACCUACGGGUGGCAGCAGUCGAGAAUUUUUCACAAUGGACGAAAGUCUGAUGGAGCGACGCCGCGUGGAGGAUGAAGGUUCUUGGAUUGUAAACUCCUGUCACUGCAGAACGAAGGAUACGUGUGUGAAUAGCAUGCGUAUUUGAUUGGUAUGCGGAGAGGAAGGGACGGCGUAACUCGUGUGCCA